GGGGAAGUAUGUAGGAGUUGAAGAUUAGUCCGCCGUAGUCGGUGUAUUCGUAGGUUCAGUACCAUUGAUGGCCAAUUGAUUUGAUGACCUUAGUUUAGGUAUUGGGGCCAAAGGAUGGAUGACCAUUUCAAACGAUCCAGGCUAAGCCAGGAGGAGAGCUCAAAGUCUGAUCUGCUCUGCUGCCCCCUGCCCCAUACACGUGAUGGAGCAGAAAACGUGCUGUGUGAACCUGUGACUUCAGGGCCUGUUGACGUGGUCGUGCUUGCAUACUCUCUGGACUGGACCUCACUGUGGGAACAACAAGAUCAACAAGAGGAGCAAGAACAACAUCAAGAGUCAGGGCCCGGGGGUCCUGACGGGUACAGGAUGGGUACAGACCCACACAGGAAUCCCAGAGUGUGUUCCACAGCAGGACACGCCUGCGCUGAAAGAGUGGGCAGAAAGGAGCUGACCUGGGAUUAUGAUCCAAACUCAGCUGGGCCUCCCCUACCUGCCCCAGGAUUGUGGAGUGAGAACGUUGCAGCAGGGGAGAACAACGCAGCAAAGCACAGCAGGGGAACCGGAAAUGCUCACCCUUUGACAGGGUACUUUUAGUUCUGGGGCCUUAUCUUAAGGAUAUUCCAACAUAUACAAAAAGAUUCAUGCACAGAGAUAUUUACUUUAGUAUUAUUUACCAUAGGAAAAAAGUUGGAAACAAUACAUUUUAUGUUCUGUAAAAUGAAAGAACAGUUAAAUAAAUCAUGGCUCUAAGACGACUCCAGGGCUGUGUACGGAAGUUCAGGGACUGAAUCAGUUGAGGCUGUUCCACCUGAGCCUAAGCUUCCUCUGCUGUAUGUCAGGAAUCAGGUGGGGGCCAAGCGAGAUCACCACAGUGCAGGCCAGUGUGCAGGGCACAGGUGGGCGCCAGGGAGGGGACGCCGCACAGCCCCAUGCUCUCGCCAAAAACGUGCAGCACAAUUUGGAAGAAAACAUUUCCAUCUGUUAAUAAAGAGCAACGGCCUCUGGUCAUAAGUGACACAUGA
ensembl:lncRNA novel transcript